CACCUCUAGCAUAGCAAGUAUUAGAGGCACCGCCUGCCCGGUGACUAUAGUUAAACGGCCGCGGUAUCCUGACCGUGCGAAGGUAGCAUAAUCAUUUGUUCCUUAAUUAGGGACUUGUAUGAAUGGCAUGACGAGGGCUUAACUGUCUCUUACAUAUAAUCAAUGAAAUUGACCUCUCCGUGAAGAGGCGGAGAUAUAAUAAUAAGACGAGAAGACCCUAUGGAGCUUAAAUAUAUCUUCCACCUCAAAAACAAAAACCCAGCCCGGGCUAACAAAGAUAGGAUUGGAAGCAAAUUUUGGUUGGGGUGACCUCGGAGAACAACCAAUCCUCCGAAAGACCUAGACCUAGACCAACAAGUCAAAGUUUACUACGUCAUCUUUGAUCCAGUUAUUCUGAUCAAUGGACCAAGUUACCCUAGGGAUAACAGCGCAAUCCUAUUUGAGAGUCCCUAUCGAAAAUGGGGUUUACGACCUCGAUGUUGGAUCAGGACAUCCCAAUGGUGCAGCAGCUAUUAAAGGUUCGUUUGUUCAACGAUUAAAGUCCU
rnacentral:rRNA from 1 species